AUGUAACAUGCUACAUGAAAGGAGUUCUCAGGGCUGCCAACCUUACAGUAGAAGUUGAGUAGUAGUAUAUUUCUUCUACAUAG
rnacentral:snoRNA from 1 species